rnacentral:rRNA from 1 species
AGCGAACGCUGGCGGCAGGCUUAACACAUGCAAGUCGAACGCCCCGCAAGGGGAGUGGCAGACGGGUGAGUAACACGUGGGAACGUACCCUUUGGUUCGGAAUAACUUGGGGAAACACAAGCUAAUACCGGAUAAGCCCUUAUGGGGAAAGGUUUACUGCCGAAGGAUCGGCCCGCGUCUGAUUAGCUAGUUGGUGAGGUACCGGCUCACCAAGGCGACGAUCAGUAGCUGGUCUGAGAGGAUGAUCAGCCACACUGGGACUGAGACACGGCCCAGACUCCUACGGGAGGCAGCAGUGGGGAAUAUUGGACAAUGGGGGCAACCCUGAUCCAGCCAUGCCGCGUGAGUGAUGAAGGCCUUAGGGUUGUAAAGCUCUUUUACCCGGGACGAUAAUGACUGUACCGAGAGAAUAAGCCCCGGCUAACUUCGUGCCAGCCGCCGCGGUAA